rnacentral:rRNA from 1 species
UACAGAGGGGGCGAGCGUUGUUCGGAAUUACGUGGCGUAAAGGGCGCGUAGGCGGCCUGCUAAGUCAUACGUGAAAUCCCUCGGCUCAACCGAGGAACUGCGUCUGAUACUGGUUGGCUUGAAUUCGGGAGAGGGAUGCGGAAUUCCAGGUGUAGCGGUGAAAUGCGUAGAUAUCUGGAGGAACACCGGUGGCGAAGGCGGCAUCCUGGACCGAGAUUGACGCUGAUGCGCGAAAGCCAGGGGAGCAAACGGG